rnacentral:rRNA from 1 species
GACGAACGCUGGCGGCGUGCCUAAUACAUGCAAGUUGAGCGCUGAAGGUUGGUACUUGUACCAACUGGAUGAGCAGCGAACGGGUGAGUAACGCGUGGGGAAUCUGCCUUUGAGCGGGGGACAACAUUUGGAAACGAAUGCUAAUACCGCAUAAAAACUUUAAACACAAGUUUGAAGUUUGAAAGAUGCAAUUGCAUCACUCAAAGAUGAUCCCGCGUUGUAUUAGCUAGUUGGUGAGGUAAAGGCUCACCAAGGCGAUGAUACAUAGCCGAACUGAGUGGGGGGUCGGCCAGAUUGGGACGGAGACACGGCACAAACGCCUAGGGGAGGCAGCAGGAGGGAAUCUUCGGCAAGGGACGAAAGUCUGAGCGAGAAAGGCCGCGGGAGUGAAGAAGGUUGUCGGAUCGUAAAACUCGGUUGGUAGAGAAGAACGUUGGUGAGAGUGGAAAGCUCAUCAAGUGACGGUAACUACUCAGAAAGGGACGGCUAACUACGUG